UUACGGUCAUAUCAUUUUGAAACACCGGUUCUUGUACGAUUACAGAAGUUAAGCAACGUCGAGCUUGGUUAAUACCUAGAUUGGUGAGCGCUCAGGAAUACCUUGUGAUGUAUG